GUCCAGAACCGGCUGCGGAACCACCAGAACCGGCCAGAAAAGCACCGAACCGGCCACCGAAAUCUCUGAACCUGUCUAGUUAGCCUCGCUUGCCUGCACGCGCGCCCCUGCGUCUCCUGCCAAGCAUGUUAGCCUCACUUCAGGUCCUGGUUAGCCUCGCUCUACACACGCCCCUGCGUUAGCCUCGCCUCUGCCCAGCGCUAGCCUCGCUCCGCAUCUGCGUUGUUAGCCUUGCUGACCCUUACUGCCUACCCCGCGCACGCCUCGACCUACACGCCAGCACCCCGCGCACACCUGUUCAGCAGAUUAGCCUCACUCGCCAAGGCCCUCGCGCAGCCCUCGCACACCCCAUCGACAGCCCGCCUGCACGCACAGCCUCAGCGUCCCCUACACGCACCCCUGCAACACCCUAGGUGCCCCCUGCAUAGCAGCCUCUGCUUUCUGUUAGCCUCUCUAUCAGCAACCUCCAGCCAAGUUCCGGCCAGCAACUAGUCACUGCCGGCCACUGGCAACUUUUUUCGGUCAGAUUCCAGCAACCCUAUUUCGAGAAAGAAAAAGACCCAAGAAGAACAAGAAUAUUAAAAUGAGAUUCAGAAUAUCAGUAUAUGCAAAAGAGGAAGAGAAGGAGGAGGAGGGUCACAAAACGAUGGCGUUUGAGGCGGAGAGACCCGACCCGAGAAGCCCAUUACAGCCGUUGAAAUUGAACAGAAGGUCGACAAGUUGAUCGCUAUGAAAUUGGGCUCCCCUAAAGAGUCCAUAUUGAAGCCGAGUUCGCUGGUCUGCAAGCGGUGGCUGAGCUUCCGAUCCGGAAGGCGAUCGGAGCCGUCCAGGACUCGACGAGCAAGCGUGCGUGUCGGCGGUGUCAAAGCGACUGGGGAAGAUGCGCGAUUGGAUCAUAGCGCUCAAGGCGUUGAUGCUGGUGCACCGCCUCAUGAACGACGGCAACCCGUAUUCCAAGACGAGAGGAUUGAUUUGAUGCUUUUGGAGAGGAAGAGUGGUAGUGGUACUAGUCCGGCCAGGGACCAGGCGUCUAAUUCUAGAGACAGCGACGGUCUAGAUCUUAUGACUAUGAUAAUGGAGGGGGAAUGAGGAGCUCAAGGUCUUAUGGAGACGUGAGUGAGUCUAUGGAAUCGGGGGGAGAGAGAGAGAGAUAGGAGAAAAAAAAAGAGGAAGUGAGGGGUAAAAUAGUCAUUUUAGACCACAUUGUGUGAUAUUUGAAUGUCUGAGAAAUAAUUUGUUAAAAUUAGGAUAGUAGGGAAUGAACUGUUGACGCCUUAAAGUACAGGGAGUGGCCAGUAAUUUUCUCUAUUUUUUACUAAAAGUUCCUGCUUUCAAGUACUUUUAAUUCCUUUCUUUUCUCGGGGACUUUCAACCUCCUUUCUUCUUUUGUGGGGAGACUUAAGCCGAACUGUGGGGGUUCAUGCUAUCUCCAAGCUUGGAACUUGUUGAGAUCUCUAAACUUAGAGUUUGUAGAGAAUUUAUGAUCGACCACUUACAUCAUUGUUUCGAUCUAAUCCAAUACCUCUUAAAAUAAUUUUUGGGAGCGUCUACGCUCAUAAAUUCCUAAUUUCUUGGGAGCGAUUACACUUAGAAA